UUUUCACCCACGGCCAUUAGAUAUUAUGGUUUUAAUAUUUUCGGUUUUAAUAGACGCAUUGUCACUGUUAUUAUUUUCUUCAUCUUCUCGCCAUUUUAUGUUUUGCAGCUACAUAAUUCUUGUUCUUUUUGGGCAAAAAGUUUGAAUUCUUGGGGAGAUCAGGUCAUUAAGGAACAACAAUUUACAAAAUGAGAUUUUUCGGAAGCAGUAUGUUUUCUAGAAUGUUAACCAAGAAAACUUCUAUUAUCUUAUGCCAUAUGCAUACCUACUGAUGAUGUGAACCUUUUUGUAGGAAGUAAUCUUUAUGCAGGUAAAUAUCAUGCUGAUAAAUACUUAGGUUUCUGCAUUAGUUGGGGUUCUUCCUUGCAAUUCUGUAUUGUUCACUUUUUCUUUUUUUAGUUCAGUUAAAGUCAGUUUUAAUAUGCAAUAAUUCUUUGUACUAUUGAUAUGCCACAUUGAAUAUGGAGUCUUGCUUGGAUGGAAUAUAACAUGUUAAAGUCAGUUUUAAUAUGCAUGUACAUUUUCUUCAUGUUCUAAUUCAUUCUUCCUUUAAUAUCCCAUUUUGCAUCAUUGAGAGUCUUCAUUUUUAUGUAGGUUGCGUCAUAUGUUAUAACAAUUCCAAUGCAGCAGUUUCCCACUUCUUCAUGGUUUUAAAUGAUUUUGUUGGCCAUGUCCAUGAUAUUAACACUAACCAUUCACUUUGUCUCUUGUGAGAAUAGGUGUUGGGCUGAUGCCAGGUCUUGGCCCAUGAACCCAGGUCUUGAUCCCAAUAACAGGAAGCCUCACAGAUUCUUUGGAAAGAUAGGACUGCAUCAAUGAGGAUUGAGGAAAGGUGAGGUUAUACUUUCUACGAAAUUUCCAAUGGUCAGAAUCUACUUCUUGGAGAAACAACUUGAGGUUCUCUGCUACAGGAGUUGCAGGCAAUCCAUUUUAAACUCUUGUACCUCGCAAUUUUUUUUUUUUCAAAUGGUUAUCCUUUACAUUUUACAUGCACUUUUUCUUUGGGCCUAUAUAUAGUAUGCAAUGCUUUGAGAAACAGAGGCAAUGACAAAUAAAUACUGUGUCUGUGUUGCACCAAAUAAAUUCUUUACAUUGUCUUCUUUAUGAUUCUCAAGGUUUUGAUAUUGAGCAGUUUCAGUGGAGAGCGGAUCAAAUCCUCGUAUGGGAAUCAUUCUCGUAUGAUGUUUGAUUUACAUAUGGAACUCCACUUAGAAAAAAGACCAAUUAAAAGAAGAGAGAGAUUAAGUGGAGUCCAUAUGUAAAUCAAACACCGUACGAGAAUGAUUCUCGUACAAGGACUUGAUCCACACUCGUUUCAAAGGUGGAACUUUUUUUUUUUUUAAUUUUUUUAUUGCAAUG